AAUUGAAUUCUUUCAUUCUAAACAAGAAAUCUGAUAAAAAAGAAAUCAAUUGAAUCGAAUUCUUAUAAAAUUUUAGUUUCCAAAGAGCAGAUAAUAGUCUAAUAUGCUUUCAAGAAUGUGACAUAAAUUCUAAUGCAGUGCCUGAUAGCAUCGGCACUUGAAUAUGAAAAAGUUCACCUCAUAAGGAAAAUAAAAUAAAAUAUAACAAAUAAAGGCAGUACUCUCUUCUUCUUCUUCUUUUCAACCAAUGUGUCAUUCACUUUAGUGUUUCAACCAUGUGGCAAACAAAUUUACAUGGUCUACAGCACACAACCUAACUCAGAUGCAUCUAACAUUAGAUACCCAUUAUCAGCACAUCCGCAAAAUUUCAAGUUUUUUUACCAAGACAACCCAUUGACCAAACUCAACUACAUCUAAAUCCCUGAUUAAUAAGGUCGGCAAUAAGGAUUUCAUAUUACAUUUUAAAGAUUAAAAGUUGGAGUAUACCCAUUAGCCAAUCCCAAAAUUCUUUCCUUUUAAUGCAGAAUGUCAAAAUAGAAUCCCAUUUCGCUUGAAAUAAAAUCUAUGCACGCCAUAAACAAUUAUACACUAAAUUGUUUUAUCACAUUUCUCUGUUACAAGUGAAGCUUUUUUCAGUAAGAGUAAAAUUAGAAAUUAAGCACAAUUCUCUUGCGAAGCUAAGAAAAGAACGUUAACAUGAUUAAAAAUUAAACAAUAACAUAAUCUAGCAUAGAACUUCGCUUAAACCCCUAAAAACCAUGAACAGAAUACUUUGAAGAAAAACAAAAUUCCAACUGAGUAAUAAGAGAGAGCAAAAGCAAAGCGAUCGAGAAGAAUAAAAAAUGCUCACUUUGAAGUUUCUUGUCCAUGUACCUUGAAUCCCCAAAAAAAAUGGAAGGAAAAACAAAUUAGAAAUUCAUAUCGGAAAAAACGAAGAAUAACGGUGAUUAGGUGAAGUUAAUAGCAUCAUUAAGAGUUGAGAA
rnacentral:misc_RNA from 1 species